UGCCUACGGGAGGCAGCAGUAGGGAUAUUGGUCAAUGGGGGAAACCCUGAACCAGCAACGCCGCGUGAGGGAAGACGGUUUUCGGAUUGUAAACCUCUGUCCUCUGUGAAGAUAAUGACGGUACUUGAGGAGGAAGCCCCGGCUAACUACGUGCCAGCAGCCGCGGUAAUACGUAGGGGGCUAGCGUUAUCCGGAAUUACUGGGCGUAAAGGGUGCGUAGGUGGUUUCUUAAGUCAGAGGUGAAAGGCUACGGCUCAACCGUAGUAAGCCUUUGAAACUGGGGAACUUGAGUGCAGGAGAGGAGG
rnacentral:rRNA from 1 species